UCAGACUUCAGACUAUCUGUGCUGAUAGAAUAUGAGCUACUUUAUAUAUAUAUUAUAGACUGGAUAUUUUUUCCCCAGUUUUGAGGUUUAUAUAAACAUCAGGUUAAAUACAUACAGUAGAUAAAAAUAAUGGCCUUUGCAUGCAAGGCACUCCCUAUUCUUUCAGCAAAUAUGAAGUCACACACACUUGUCUGUCACACUAUACUUCACACACUUUCUAAACACCAAAUAUGGAGUCUUUGCUCUGUGAAAGUUUAGAGUAGCUUGCAUUCAAUGGAUGAAUGGAUCAUAGCGUAUCCCCAGUCUUGUUUCUGGAAAUCUCACUUAAAGUUCAGUUCCAACCCUAAUCUAAUUAAGAGUCAGGAACAAUUCAUAGUUACAGAAAGGUUUGCUGGAGCAGGAUUGACACUGAACUCUGCACGAAGAAAUAGGGUUGUGAUGAGUGGGGCGGGGCCGCGAGCCAUGAGAACGGAAUGAGGCCAGUGGAGUGACUGGAAAUGAGCGACGCCUGCUCCACUCACCGGUCUCGCGUCCCGCGGUGGAGAUGGAAGGAUACAAAAGAGGGGGCGACGACAGUGAACAACGAGAGAGGGCCAGGCCAGGCCAUGAUUUUAGUUUGUACUUGGUUUUUGUUUGUAAGCGACAGUUGUCCGUGAAGGGCUGUCGCAGUGUUUUGUGUUUAUUUUGUUAUUAAAAGCCUUAUUUGAUUGA